rnacentral:rRNA from 1 species
AAGAUUAAGCCAUGCAUGUCUAAGUAUAAGCAAUUUAUACAGUGAAACUGCGAAUGGCUCAUUAAAUCAGUUAUCGUUUAUUUGAUAGUUCCUUUACUACAUGGUAUAACUGUGGUAAUUCUAGAGCUAAUACAUGCUUAAAAUCCCGACCUCUGGAAGGGAUGUAUUUAUUAGAUAAAAAUCAAUGUCUUCGGACUCUUUGAUGAUUCAUAAUAACUUUUCGAAUCGCAU